CCUACGGGGGGCAGCAGUGGGGAAUAUUGGACAAUGGGGGCAACCCUGAUCCAGCCAUGCCGCGUGUGUGAAGAAGGCCCUCGGGUUGUAAAGCACUUUCAGUGAGGAAGAACGCCUGGUGGUUAAUACCCAUCAGGAAAGACAUCACUCACAGAAGAAGCACCGGCUAACUCCGUGCCAGCAGCCGCGGUAAUACGGAGGGUGCGAGCGUUAAUCGGAAUUACUGGGCGUAAAGCGCGCGUAGGUGGCUUGAUAAGCCGGUUGUGAAAGCCCCGGGCUCAACCUGGGAACGGCAUCCGGAACUGUCAAGCUAGAGUGCAGGAGAGGAAGGUAGAAUUCCCGGUGUAGCGGUGAAAUGCGUAGAGAUCGGGAGGAAUACCAGUGGCGAAGGCGGCCUUCUGGACUGACACUGCCACUGAGGUGCGAAAGCGUGGGUAGCAAACAGGAUUAGAUACCCUUGUAGUC
rnacentral:rRNA from 1 species